GAACUGGAGCAGCGAAAAAGAAGCGCUGAAAGCAGCAGCAGCAGCAGCAGACCGCCAAAGCGCGUUCAAAGCUCCACAAUACGCUGCAGACAGACAGACAGACAGAUAGAAAGAGAGAAGGGUAGAGUGAGAGCGCGCCUGCUAGCUUUUUGGCGACAGUGUCCCGCACAGAAUUAUUCUCUCAGUGCUAUAGUUGUCGUCGCGCUGUGCAAAGCUCGAAGCUCGUGGGUUGUGUUGCGUUGGAAAUCGGGCCAGUCAUACAGCGCCCGCUCACCGCUCGUCGCCCACCGCACACCACCCUCGUCCAGUGCCACGCCACGCCUCUCGCGCCUCGUUUUGCCGCCCAGCUGCCACAAGACGGUGUGUGCGUGCGCGUGUUUGCCGCCGGUUGUAAAACCCAAAGGAACACCCAAAGAAACACAGUGCGAACAAAAGUGAAUCAAACUGUUUUUGCAUAAUACCAAUCCAAAUUGAAAUUCAAAUCGAACAGAGAAAACCAUCCCGAAAUCCGAGUCUAAUCAAUGUGAGAAACAAACAAAUAGUCAGCGGAAUCUCGUAUCAAAUGCAAAUGGAAAAACUAAACAUUCCAACUGGCGCGCAAAUAAAAUGAUGAGCAUAGUAUAUUCUUGGUAUAUAAUAGGUACUAUAUUAACGUAGUUGUUGUGUUGUCAAGUGCAGUGCAAAGUAAUUUGCCUCCGUUGUCGCCACUAAUACGAGUUCCUGCCUGUUCCUCCACCAACCGCCCGCCAGCACUGACAGUCAGUGCCCUCUUGCCACCGCCGGCUGUACCGUAGCGCCAGCCAGCGCGUGUUAUCAGCCACAAGCGCAACAACGAAACGCGACAAAAACACAGAACUCGGAAAAACAACAAGAGAAGAAAACGCAACUCCAGACUGAAUGUGAAUGUAAAUCUGAAUGCAUUUGAACUCAGCGUAAAAGCUCAAUGUGAGUGUGAGUGUAAGACGAUACACCCAACAAAUCGAAGGCAAAAACAGAAUUGGCUGGAAACUGGAAACAGACUGGAGGCAGUCUCUGGAGAAGAGCGAGGAUUAACUGCUAUAGGAGAAGGAGAAGGGGAGAGUAUUUUUUAAGGCCAUCAAAAGACAAACAAAGGGCCACGCCACCCAGACCCAGAGGACAAAAGGCUGGGGCAAACGUGCAUGAACUGAAAUCUGGAGGCUAACCAGGCGAUGAGACGACUGGUCCAUCAAUUACCCCCAGCCACCACUCACCUGCCCCGAGUUGUCCAUUAAAACUAAAGUGGAAGAGUGGAGGAGCGGAGGAGCGGAGGCGUCAACAACAGGUUGCUCUGGGGGUCGUCACAUAAAUCCCGCCGCUGAAUAGGACCUGAACCCUGAGCCACAUAAGUGGGCGACGAGUACGUGACUUAAUCAACACACAGCAGGAGCAUUCAGGAGCAUU